rnacentral:rRNA from 1 species
CUGGCGGGUGCUAUACUGCAGUCGAGCGACAGAUAAGGAGCUUGCUCCUUUGACGUUAGCGGCGGACGGGUGAGUAACACGUGGAUAACCUACCUAUAAGACUGGGAUAACUUCGGGAAACCGGAGCUAAUACCGGAUAACAUAUUGAACCGCAUGGUUCAAUAGUGAAAGGCGGCUUUGCUGUCACUUAUAGAUGGAUCCGCGCCGUAUUAGCUAGUUGGUAAGGUAACGGCUUACCAAGGCAACGAUACGUAGCCGACCUGAGAGGGUGAUCGGCCACACUGGAACUGAGACACGGUCCAGACUCCUACGGGAGGCAGCAGUAGGGAAUCUUCCGCAAUGGGCGAAAGCCUGACGGAGCAACGCCGCGUGAGUGAUGAAGGUCUUCGGAUCGUAAAACUCUGUUAUCAGGGAAGAACAAAUGUGUAAGUAACUGUGCACAUCUUGACGGUACCUGAUCAGAAAGCCACGGCUAACUACGUGCCAGCAGCCGCGGUAAUACGUAGGUGGCAAGCGUUAUCCGGAAUUAUUGGGCGUAAAGCGCGCGUAGGCGGUUUUUUAAGUCUGAUGUGAAAGCCCACGGCUCAACCGUGGAGGGUCAUUGGAAACUGGAAAACUUGAGUGCAGAAGAGGAAAGUGGAAUUCCAUGUGUAGCGGUGAAAUGCGCAGAGAUAUGGAGGAACACCAGUGGCGAAGGCGACUUUCUGGUCUGUAACUGACGCUGAUGUGCGAAAGCGUGGGGAUCAAACAGGAUUAGAUACCCUGGUAGUCCACGCCGUAAACGAUGAGUGCUAAGUGUUAGGGGGUUUCCGCCCCUUAGUGCUGCAGCUAACGCAUUAAGCACUCCGCCUGGGGAGUACGACCGCAAGGUUGAAACUCAAAGGAAUUGACGGGGACCCGCACAAGCGGUGGAGCAUGUGGUUAAUUCGAAGCACGCGAAGAACC